rnacentral:rRNA from 1 species
GACGAACGCUGGCGGCGUGCUUAACACAUGCAAGUCGAACGGAAAGGCCCUGCUUUUGUGGGGUGCUCGAGUGGCGAACGGGUGAGUAACACGUGAGUAACCUGCCCUUGACUUUGGGAUAACUUCAGGAAACUGGGGCUAAUACCGGAUAGGAGCUCCUGCUGCAUGGUGGGGGUUGGAAAGUUUCGGCGGUUGGGGAUGGACUCGCGGCUUAUCAGCUUGUUGGUGGGGUAGUGGCUUACCAAGGCUUUGACGGGUAGCCGGCCUGAGAGGGUGACCGGCCACAUUGGGACUGAGAUACGGCCCAGACUCCUACGGGAGGCAGCAGUGGGGAAUAUUGCACAAGGGGCGGAAGCCUGAUGCAGCAACGCCGCGUGCGGGAUGACGGCCUUCGGGUUGUAAACCGCUUUCGCCUGUGACGAAGCGUGAGUGACGGUAAUGGGUAAAGAAGCACCGGCUAACUAUGUG